rnacentral:tRNA from 1 species
GCCUGGAUGGCUCAGUAGGUUGAGCAUCUGACUUCAGCUCAGGUCAUGAUCUCACAGUUUGUGGGUUCCAGCCCCCCAUCAGGCU